rnacentral:rRNA from 1 species
ACGAACGCUGGCGGCGUGCUUAACACAUGCACGUCGAACGGAAAGGCUCUGCUUUUGUGGGGUGCUCGAGUGGCGAACGGGUGAGUAACACGUGAGUAACCUGCCCUUGACUUUGGGAUAACUUCAGGAAACUGGGGCUAAUACCGGAUAGGAGCUCCUGCUGCAUGGUGGGGGUUGGAAAGUUUCGGCGGUUGGGGAUGGACUCGCGGCUUAUCAGCUUGUUGGUGGGGUAGUGGCUUACCAAGGCUUUGACGGGUAGCCGGCCUGAGAGGGUGACCGGCCACAUUGGGACUGAGAUACGGCCCAGACUCCUACGGGAGGCAGCAGUGGGGAAUAUUGCACAAUGGGCGGAAGCCUGAUGCAGCAACGCCGCGUGCGGGAUGACGGCCUUCGGGUUGUAAACCGCUUUCGCCUGUGACGAAGCGUGAGUGACGGUAAUGGGUAAAGAAGCACCGGCUAACUACGUG